UACGUAGGGGGCUAGCGUUGUCCGGAAUCAUUGGGCGUAAAGCGCGUGUAGGCGGUUCGGUAAGUCCGCUGUGAAAGUCGGGGGCUCAACCCUCGAAUGCCGGUGGAUACUGUCGGGCUAGAGUGCGGAAGAGGCGAGUGGAAGUUCCUGGUGUAGCGGUGAAAUGCGCAGAUAUCAGGAGGAACACCAAUUGCGAAGGCAGCUCGCUGGGACGCUACUGACGCUGAGACGCGAAAGCGUGGGGAGCGAACAGG
rnacentral:rRNA from 1 species